CCUACGGGAGGCAGCAGUGGGAAUAUUUGGCAAUGGGCGCAAGCCUGACCCAGCAACGCCGCGUGAAGGAAGAAGGCUUUCGUGUUGUAAACUUCUUUUCUCCGGGACGACGAAGGUGACGGUACCUGAGGCAUCAGCCACGGCUAACUACGGGCCAGCAGCCGCGGGCAUACGUAGGUGGCAAGCGUUAUUCGGAUUUACUGGGUGUAAAGGGCGUGUAGGCGGGAAUGCAAGUCAGAUGUGAAAACCACGGGCUCAACCUGUGGCCUGCAUUUGAAACUGUAGUUCUUGAGUACUGGAGAGGCAGACGGAAUGCCUAGUGUAGCGGUGAAAUGCGUAGAUAUUAGGAGGAACACCAGUGGCGAAGGCGGUCUGCUGGACAGCAACUGACGCUGAGGCGCGAAAGCGUGGGGAGCAAACAGGAUUAGAUACCCGGGUAGUC
rnacentral:rRNA from 1 species